GGGCUCACACAAGCGGUGGAGGAUGUGGCUUAAUUCGAGGCUACGCGAAGAACCUUACCUAGACUUAACAUGCUUAGGAACUCCUGUGAAAGCAGGAGGUGCCCUUCGGGGAGCCUUUGCAUAGGUGCUGCAUGGCUGUCGUCAGCUCGUGUCGUGAGAUGUCGGGUUAAGUCCCUUAACGAGCGAAACCCUUAUCUCUAGUUGCCAGCGGGUAGUGCCGGGGACUCUAGAGAGACUGCCGGUGUUAAACCGGAGGAAGGUGGGGAUGACGUCAAGUCCUCAUGGCCUUUAUGUGUUGGGCUACACACGUGCUACAAUGGUACUUACAAUGGGAAGCAAAGAGGCGACUCC
rnacentral:rRNA from 1 species